GACAAAGGGGGCUAACGUUGUUCGGAAUUACUGGACGUAAAGCGCGCGUAGGCGGCGCAUUAAGUCAGAGGUGAAAGCCCAAAACUCAACCCCGGAAUUGCCUUUGAGACUGGUGUGCUUGAGUACGGAAGAGGUGAGUGGAAUUCCCAGUGUAGAGGUGAAAUUCGUAGAUAUUGGGAAGAACACCAGUGGCGAAGACGGCUCACUGGUCCGUAACUGACGCUGAGGUGCGAAAGCGUGGGGAGCAAACAGGAUUAGAUACCCGCGUAGUCC
rnacentral:rRNA from 1 species